ensembl:lncRNA TMEM72-AS1 TMEM72 antisense RNA 1
GAGCACGCCCCUCACUCCGCACCGGCCAAUGGCACCGCCCCGUCCGCCCCGCUCUGGGAACGCCGCUCCAGCAGAUGUGACAUAGACUGGAAGUGAUGGACCCAGACAACAAUCAGAACCAAAGCACCAGAUGAGCCACCUCAGCCACGUGAGCCAUGCCAGCCACCCUACCUGUGACCCCAUCUGUGGCCCCAGUUAUCAUGGAGUAGAGCCCUUUCUCUGUCUACAAAACCAACUUCCUCGCCCAGCUCAUGGGAACACUUAUUCUGUUGUAUAGAAUGAAGUGUUGCUUGAUUCUAGAAUCGUAUCCACACUGCCUCUGCUACCUGCCCGUUGGUCACUCACUCAUUGUUCUGAUGAUAAGAUCGACAGAUCACAAGAAGGGACAAGGCUCAUCCCAGGAGGAUCCAUGAUGCUUUAUGAAGACAGUCCCAACAGCCCAUCUCUGUCAUCCUCCAGACGUGCCAAGGCUGAAUCAUGGAGCAAACACAGCACAGGCUCAAGCUGAGACCCUGCCAUGUGACCUCCUAGUUCUAUGAAAUACCCUUCAACAAUGCAGAAUUGACAAACCCUCCCAGAACCUGAUAUAGAUACACAUAUUUAUUAUAUAAGUGUCUCAGUAAAGAAACAAUUUUCUGUAGUGCUUAGUAGCAGACUUCUGACUCCAUAAGAUGUUUCUAAGUAAAGGUUUCUUGGUCAAGGAAUUUGGAAAAUGCUCAUAGUGUAUAUGAUUCUAGGAGACUUUGGAAACACAUUAGUGCAUUCGGAAGCCCUGCAGUAGUCUGCCGCAUGACUUAUUCCAGCUUAUCCCUACAUUAUGGAAUGCUUUUGUCACUGAAUACCUUCAGAACGCAUUUUGGGAAAACUUUUAUAUAUUCGUGGCAACCCUGGAGAAAAAACUUAGAGGUAAAGUUCCCUCUCCGAGAGGCCAUAAUAAAUGUGAAAGUGUGGAAAAGAGCCCUCAUCCUCCACCUCCAAGGCUGGUGUUCUUGCCAGGAUACCAUCCUAUCAGUUCUUUCUAAAACUCUCCUGUCCCCAGUGCAAAUACUCUCAUCAUGACAAUGCCUCACUUCAGCAGGCCUUCUCAUGGAGCUGCAGGAGUUCUUUGCAAAGUCCCCCAGCCCUGGUCUAGGAAUUGGGAGUUGCCUCACAGAUGCUUUAUUGUUAUUACUGGUUACAUGUGUGAUAUGUAGCAUACAUAUCAACUACACCUUUAACCAAUAACUUUUACUUAUUUUUUAUUUGGAGAAUGAUAUAUGCUCAUUAAAGAAAAAUUGGGGAAAAAGUUGGUAAAUAAUGAAGAAGAAAAAUUCACUUCAACCUAGAAAUAGCCCAGUGAACAUGCUGGUGUCAAGGGUGUACAUACACAUAUACAUGUUUGCAUGUUUUGGGAACAAUUUGAAACAAUAUGCAUGUUUGUUACAGUUUUGGAACUGUAACAAAAAUGCACAGUUAUAGUUAUUUAUCAUGACCUUCCUGUUUUUCUUGCCAUGAUAGGUUGUGAAGAUGUUUACAUAUCAUUAAA